CCUACGGGAGGCAGCAGUGGGGAAUUUUGGACAAUGGGGGCAACCCUGAUCCAGCAAUGCCGCGUGAGUGAAGAAGGCCUUCGGGUUGUAAAGCUCUUUUGUCAGGGAAGAAACAGCAGCUCUAACACAGACUGCGAAUGACGGUACCUGAAGAAUAAGCACCGGCUAACUACGUGCCAGCAGCCGCGGUAAUACGUAGGGUGCGAGCGUUAAUCGGAAUUACUGGGCGUAAAGCGUGCGCAGGCGGUUAUACAAGACAGGCGUGAAAUCCCCGGGCUUAACCUGGGAAUGGCGUCUGUGACUGUAUAGCUAGAGUGUGUCAGAGGGGGGUGGAAUUCCACGUGUAGCAGUGAAAUGCGUAGAUAUGUGGAGGAACACCAAUGGCGAAGGCAGCCCCCUGGGAUAACACUGACGCUCAUGCACGAAAGCGUGGGGAGCAAACAGGAUUAGAUACCCUGGUAGUCCACGCCCUAAACGAUGCUGACUAGUUGUUGGGAAUUUACAUUCUCAGUAACGUAGCUAACGCGUGAAGUCAGCCGCCUGGGGAGUACGGUCGCAAGAUUAAAACGUCAAAGGAAUUGACGGCAGAGAGNGCGAGGACGACGACGAGGGAGGAGG
rnacentral:rRNA from 1 species